AAUGUGUUUAUUUUACAGACUCCAAAAAAUAAAACCAACAGCUUUAUCAUGCACCUCUUCAAUUGUGACUGCCCAAACUUCUAUAUUUCAGCCAACUUCAAACUUGAGAAAACACCUUGCGGGCUGGGACAGGAGUUAAUUGUUCCCAUGAUCGUGGCAGAAUUGAUCAGCGCUAAAGGUUCAUUCCCUGUAACAUUCCACCAGAGACGGGAAGGCAAACCUACUCUGUUUUUGAGUCAUCUGACAGCUAUCGCCCAAAAUGCUGGGCCAAAUGGCGACAUGCUCGGCUGCUUUCUCGCUGGUCGUCUGCCGACCAGAAUUUGAGUAAAUGGGAUCCGGAAUCGUCAGAUGAAUGAACUCCCUCUGGAUCGCAAGCCGAGCUUCAUCCCUCCGGAUGAUAUGGAGACGAAGGUAAUUUGUUUGCAGCUCCCGUUAGCUACAUUUAGCAAGCAAACACGCUCCUUCAAUCCUUGUGACAUAAAAAAAUAGUUUCGUCCCACUAGUUCACAUUAUAAUGUAAGAUCUGU